rnacentral:rRNA from 1 species
CAGGGCUUGACAUCCUCAGAAUCCCAAGGAAACUUGGGAGUGCCCUUCGGGGAGCUGGGAGACAGGUGGUGCAUGGUUGUCGUCAGCUCGUGUCGUGAGAUGUUGGGUUAAGUCCCGCAACGAGCGCAACCCCUGUGUUUAGUUGCUAACGAGUAAUGUCGAGCACUCUAGACAGACUGCCGGUGAUAAACCGGAGGAAGGUGGGGAUGACGUCAAAUCAUCAUGCCCCUUAUGUCCUGGGCUACACACGUGCUACAAUGGCCAGUACAGACGGACGCGAAGCCGCGAGGUGGAGCAAAUCCGAGAAAGCUGGUCUCAGUUCGGAUUGCAGGCUGCAACUCGCCUGCAUGAAGUCGGAAUCGCUAGUAAUCGCAGGUCAGCAUACUGCGGUGAAUACGUUCC